rnacentral:rRNA from 1 species
AUGAGGAGAGAAUCCUAAGGCCGACGGGAGAAGCAUUGUUAAGGAACUCGGCAAAAUGACUCCGUAACUUCGGGAGAAGGAGUGCCAGUAAGAUGGCCGCAGAGAAUUGGCCCAAGCAACUGUUUAGCAAAAACACAGGUCUAUGCAAAACCGAAAGGUGAGGUAUAUGGGCUGACGCCUGCCCGGUGCUGGAAGGUUAAGGGGAGAGGUUAGCGCAAGCGAAGCUUUGAACUUAAGCCCCAGUAAACGGCGGCCGUAACUAUAACGGUCCUAAGGUAGCGAAAUUCCUUGUCGGGUAAGUUCCGACCCGCACGAAAGGCGUAAUGAUUUGGGCACUGUCUCAACAAUGCACCCGGUGAAAUUGAAAUACCAGUGAAGAUGCUGGUUACCUGCGCCAGGACGGAAAGACCCCAUGGAGCUUUACUCCAGCUUGAUACUGGGAUUCGGUAUUGCAUGUACAGGAUAGGUGGGAGGCUAGGAAAUGGUAACGCCAGUUGCCAUGGAGCCAAUGUUGGGAUACCACCCUUGCAGUACUGGGUUUCUAACCAGCAGCCGUGAUCCGGCUGGGGGACAAUGUCAGGUGGGGAGUUUGACUGGGGCGGUCGCCUCCGAAAGGGUAUCGGAGGCGCUCAAAGGUUCCCUCAGAAUGGUUGGAAACCAUUCGAAGAGUGCAAAGGCAGAAGGGAGCUUGACUGCGACACCGACGGGUGGAGCAGGUACGAAAGUAGGACUUAGUGAUCCGGUGGUAUAAAGUGGGAUUGCCAUCGCUCAACGGAUAAAAGCUACCCUGGGAUAACAGGCUUAUCACUCCCAAGAGUUCACAUCGACGGAGUGGUUUGGCACCUCGAUGUCGGCUCAUCGCAUCCUGGGGCUGAAGUAGGUCCCAAGGGUUGGGCUGUUCGCCCAUUAAAGCGGUACGCGAGCUGGGUUCAGAACGUCGUGAGACAGUUCGGUCCCUAUCCGGCGUGGGCGUAAGAUAUUUGAGAGGAGCUGUCCUUAGUACGAGAGGACCGGGAUGGACUGGCCGCUGGUGUAUCUGUUGUCUUACCAAAGGCAUAGCAGAGUAGCCAAGCCGGGAAGGGAUAAACGCUGAAGGCAUCUAAGCGUGAAGCCCCCCUCAAGAUGAGAUAUCUCAUAACGUCAAGUUAGUAAGACCCCUUGAAGACGACGAGGUAGAUAGGGCAGAGGUGGAAGUGUGGUAACACAUGGAGCUGACUGUUACUAAUAGGUCGAGGGCAUAACCU